rnacentral:misc_RNA from 1 species
GCAACCGCUCGACUGUUCUAAUCCCAGAAACUGGGAAUCAUUAUAUUGUUGUGUUAUACACUUUCAUGUACCGGCAAUUGAUGAUUCGAUUGCAUAGUAGGUUUUACUAGGGUAUGUUACCAAUCUGUACAGAAAUUAAAUUUGCAACAUGCCCCCUGUUGUCAGUUUUCUUCACCCAGAAUCUCCCUCCUCCACACACCACAAACCCACCCCCCCUCCC